rnacentral:tRNA from 2 species
GGGGCUAUAGCUCAGUUGGUUAGAGCGUUACGUUGACAUCGUAAAGGUCUCUGGUUCGAAUCCGGAUAGCCCCACCA